rnacentral:rRNA from 1 species
AGGGUGUAAACGCUGCCGACUUGGUGUUGGAGGCCCUUCGGGGGCAUUCAGUGCCGGAGAGAAGUUGUUAAGUCGGCCACUUGGGGAGUACGUCCGCAAGGAUGAAACUUAAAGGAAUUGGCGGGGGAGCACCACAAGAGGUGGGAGGCUGCGGUUCAAUUGGACUCAACGCCGGAAAACUCAUCGGGAGCGACAGCAGUAUGAUUGCCAGGUUGAUGACCUUGCUUGACAAGCUGAGAGGUGGUGCAUGGCGUAGUCGUGU